rnacentral:rRNA from 1 species
GAUGAACGCUGGCGGCGUGCCUAAUACAUGCAAGUCGAGCGAACGAACGAGAAGCUUGCUUCUCUGAUGUUAGCGGCGGACGGGUGAGUAACACGUGGAUAACCUACCUAUAAGACUGGGAUAACUUCGGGAAACCGGAGCUAAUACCGGAUAAUAUUUUGAACCGCAUGGUUCAAAAGUGAAAGACGGUCUUGCUGUCACUUAUAGAUGGACCCGCGCUGCAUUAGCUAGUUGGUAAGGUAACGGCUUACCAAGGCAACGAUGCAUAGCCGACCUGAGAGGGUGAUCGGCCACACUGGAACUGAGACACGGUCCAGACUCCUACGGGAGGCAGCAGUAGGGAAUCUUCCGCAAUGGGCGAAAGCCUGACGGAGCAACGCCGCGUGAGUGAUGAAGGUCUUCGGAUCGUAAAACUCUGUUAUUAGGGAAGAACAUAUGUGUAAGUAACUGUGCACAUCUUGACGGUACCUAAUCAGAAAGCCACGGCUAACUACGUG